ensembl:misc_RNA 7SK 7SK RNA
GGAUGUGAGGGCGAUCUGGCUUCGACUCCUGGCACCCCAUUGAUCGCCAGGGUUGAUUCGGCAGAUCUGGCUAGCUAGGAGGGUGACCCCUUCCUCUCUUACCACUCCAUGUGUGUCCCUCCCGAAGCUCAGUCAAAGAGGACGACCUCCCCCACUCCCUCCCUGCUCCCUGAAUAGAGGAGGGCCGGUGGUCUUCGGUCAAGGGUACGGGAGUAGCUGCUCUCCCCUGAUAGAACCUCCAAACAAGCUCCCAAGCAUGGGAUCCCACCCCCAACCCCACCCCCACACACUCAUCACAUGCUCGUUGGCUUCAGCUGUUUAGAGGACACCGUGGACCUUCUAUUAUGUAUCAUG